rnacentral:rRNA from 1 species
UACGUAGGGGGCAAGCGUUGUCCGGAUUUAUUGGGCGUAAAGAGCGUGUAGGCGGUCAGGUAGGUCCGUUGUGAAAACUCGAGGCUCAACCUCGAGACGUCGAUGGAAACCAUCUGGCUAGAGUCCGGAAGAGGAGAGUGGAAUUCCUGGUGUAGCGGUGAAAUGCGCAGAUAUCAGGAAGAACACCCGUGGCGAAGGCGGCUCUCUGGUACGUGACUGACGCUGAGACGCGAAAGCGUGGGGAGCGAACAGG